ACUAACGCUGGCGGCGUGCCUAACACAUGCAAGUCGAACGAGAAAGCCGCAAGGUGAGUAAAGUGGCGGACGGGUGCGUAACACGUGGGUAAUCUACCUAUUGGCUUGGGAUAACAGUCCGAAAGGAUUGCUAAUACCGGAUAAGACCACAGCUCUGCGGAGUGGUGGUAAAAGGCGCUCGCAAGGGUGCCACCGAUUGAUGAGCCCGCGGCCUAUCAGCUAGUUGGCGGGGGUAACGGCCCACCAAGGCUACGACGGGUAACUGGUCUGAGAGGACGACCAGUCACACUGGAACUGAGACACGGUCCAGACUCCUACGGGAGGCAGCAGUGGGGAAUAUUGCGCAAUGGACGAAAGUCUGACGCAGCAACGCCGCGUGGGUGAUGAAGGCCUUCGGGUUGUAAAGCCCUGUCGCCCGGGACGAACAAGUCGUUUAACAAACGACUCUGACGGUACCGGGAGAGGAAGCACCGGCUAACUCUGUGCCAGCAGCCGCGGUAAUACAGAGGGUGCUAGCGUUGUUCGGAAUUAUUGGGCGUAAAGGGCGUGUAGGCGGUCCUGUGUAGUCGGGUGUGAAAGCCCCCUCUCUCAACGAGUGGAACUGCAUUCGAAACUGACAGGGCUCGAGUGUCGGAGAGGAUGGUGGAAUUCCUGGUGUAGCGGUGAAAUUCGUAGAUAUCAGGAGGAACACCGGUGGCGAAGGCGGCCAUUCUGGACGACUAACUGACGCUGAGGACGCGAAAGCGUGGGGAUCAAACAGGAUUAGAUACCCUGGUAGUCCACGCUGUAAACGAUGGGUGCCUAGGUGUCGCUGGGUAUUGACCCCCUGCAGUGCCGCAGCUAACGCAUUAAGCACCCCGCCUGGGGAGCUACGGCCGCAAGGUUAAAACUCAAAGGAAUUGACGGGGGCCCGCACAAGCGGUGGAGCAUGUGGUUCAAUUCGACGCAACGCGAAGAACCUUACCCGGGCUAGACAACAGAGGACAGCCUCAGAAAUGAGGUCUUCCCUUCGGGGACCUCUGGUUCAGGUGCUGCAUGGCUGUCGUCAGCUCGUGUCGUGAGAUGUUGGGUUAAGUCCCGCAACGAGCGCAACCCUUGCCUCUAGUUGCCAUCAUUUAGUUGGGCACUCUAGAGGGACUGCCCGUGUCAAACGGGAGGAAGGCGGGGAUGACGUUAAGUCCUCAUGGCCCUUAUGUCCGGGGCUACACACGUGCUACAAUGGGCGGUACAAAGGGCAGCAAACCCGCGAGGGGGAGCCAAUCCCAAAAAGCCGCUCUCAGUUCGGAUUGGAGUCUGCAACCCGACUCCAUGAAGGCGGAAUCGCUAGUAAUCGCGGAUCAGCACGCCGCGGUGAAUACGUUCCCGGGCCUUGUACACACCGCCCGUCACACCAUGGAAGCCAGCUGUACCGGAAGUCGGUGAUGGAACCCGCAAGGGACCUAGUCGCCGAUGGUAUG
rnacentral:rRNA from 1 species